rnacentral:rRNA from 1 species
CAGCCGCCGCGGUAAUACGUAGGUGGCAAGCGUUGUCCGGAAUUAUUGGGCGUAAAGGGCUCGCAGGCGGUUUCUUAAGUCUGAUGUGAAAGCCCCCGGCUCAACCGGGGAGGGCCAUUGGAAACUGGGAAACUUGAGUGCAGAAGAGGAGAGUGGAAUUCCACGUGUAGCGGUGAAAUGCGUAGAGAUGUGGAGGAACACCAGUGGCGAAGGCGACUCUCUGGUCUGUAACUGACGCUGAGGAGCGAAAGCGUGGGGAGCGAACAGGAUUAGAUACCCCCGUAGUCCCUGUCUCUUAUAC